GGAGAACAGGGGCAUGAGACAGAAGGAAAAACUAUAAAAGGGGGACUACUCCAUAAGGAUGGCAUGCUUACCUCUAUGUUUUAGAGAAUAGUCCAGCAAAGAAGCUUGGGGGAAAUUCUGAUUUGAGAAUUUUACUUGUGCCUUGUUGAAUUGUUCUUUUCUCUGUAAUUGAACUAUUCAGCUCAUUCAGCAGCCAUCUUAUCUACUUGAGCCAAUUGAAUUACAAUUUACUCUUUCC
rnacentral:misc_RNA from 1 species